UACGAAGGGUGCAAGCGUUAAUCGGAAUUACUGGGCGUAAAGCGUGCGUAGGCGGUUUCUUAAGUCUGCUGUGAAAGCCCCGGGCUCAACCUGGGAAUGGCGGUGGAUACUGAGAAGCUGGAGUACGGUAGAGGAAGGUGGAAUUCCCGGUGUAGCGGUGAAAUGCGUAGAGAUCGGGAGGAACAUCAGUGGCGAAGGCGGGUCUCUGGGCCGAUACUGACGCUGAGGAGCGAAAGCGUGGGGAGCGAACAGG
rnacentral:rRNA from 1 species